AAAAAAAAAAAAAAAAAAAAAAAAAAAAAGAAAUUUAAAUAUA
rnacentral:ribozyme from 1 species